GACGAACGCUGGCGGCGUGCCAAAUACAUGCAAGUAGAACGCUGAAGGAGGAGCUUGCUUCUCUGGAUGAGUUGCGAACGGGUGAGUAACGCGUAGGUAACCUGCCUGGUAGCGGGGGAUAACUAUUGGAAACGAUAGCUAAUACCGCAUAAGAGUAGAUGUUACAUGACAUUUGCUUAAAAGGUGCAAUUGCAUCACUACCAGAUGGACCUGCGUUGUAUUAGCUAGUUGGUGAAGUAACGGCUCACCAAGGCGACGAUACAUAGCCGACCUGAGAGGGUGAUCGGCCACACUGGGACUGAGACACGGCCCAGACUCCUACGGGAGGCAGCAGUAGGGAAUCUUCGGCAAUGGACGGAAGUCUGACCGAGCAACGCCGCGUGAGUGAAGAAGGUUUUCGGAUCGUAAAGCUCUGUUGUAAGAGAAGAACGAGGGUGAGAGUGGAAAGUUCACACUGUGACGGUAUCUUACCAGAAAGGGACGGCUAACUACGUG
rnacentral:rRNA from 1 species